rnacentral:rRNA from 1 species
CCUACGGGAGGCUGCAGUGGGGAAUUUUGCGCAAUGCUCGUAAGAGUGACGCAGCGACGCCGCGUGAAUGACGAAGGCCUUCGGGUCGUAAAGUUCUUUCGACAGGGAAGUAAAUGCCUAUAAGUAACUGUGUAUGUAUUGACGGUACCUGUAUAAGCAGCCCCGGCUAACUCCGUGCCAGCAGCCGCGGUAAUACGGAGGGGGCGAGCGUUGUUCGGAGGGACUGGGCGUAAAGAGCACGUAGGCGGUGUUGUAAGUCAUUAGUCAAAGACUAGAGCUCAACUUUAGUAAGGCUAGUGAUACUAUAAUACUAGAGUAUCAGAGAGGAUUGCAGAAUGCCUGGGGUAGCGGUGAAAUGCGUAGAUAUCAGGAGGAAUACCGUUAGCGAAGGCGGCAAUCUGGCUGGAAACUGACGCUGAGGUGCGAAAGCGUGGGUAGCAAACAGGAUUAGAUACCCUGGUAGUC